AGCCAAUGAUGCGAUUCACAUACGUAUUUACCAUAGACUGUAUAUAAUGGUAUUUACGCAGCUAAUCAACGUCAGGCGUCCUUAUGUGCAGCCACCAUUGUUCUCAUAGAUAUGAAUGAGUAGAUAGGACACGCCCCUUUGAGCUGCGUGCUACAGCGAGGCUAAGCUAGUGGGGGCAAAGUUUCAGUGCAUUCCAUUGAUGUAAACGGCGUGAAAACGGAAACAAGUAUGCCGUCUCACUGUGCUGCAUACAAUUACACACUGCGUCGUACGAUUGAGACAAGGAAACUUGGAAUGACUUUUCAUAGGUUUCCCAGAGACUAUGGGUUGAGAAGGAAUUGGAAGUUUGUUGGCUUAGACCUGGUGUCAUUCCAUCAGUGUUAAACUUCCCGGCUCAUCUUGGAAGAGUACGUGCCAGAAAGACCACGACCAAGCAGCCUUGAGAUCUUAGGCAGCGUCUCCCUGAGGUCCCUCUCUAUCUCCCCACACAUCCACCAACCACUGGAACACAUCUCCAAAGUUCUGCCGGGCCAGCUCAGCUUCCCCUCAGAAGAAGUUCCGCCACCUGCCAGAUGAAGGAGCCUUUUGAGAGGCAGCUGGCAUCAUGAUUGGACUGUACUUUGGUCUGUUCCAAUCCAGCUUCAGCUCCAGAGACGGCAGGCGGGACGAGUCAACGGAGGCCUGGUGGACGAAGGCAUGCAGCUGAGUACAAUCCAGAAAACAACAGAGGAGGAGUGCAGCGGCCCAGGGCCAGAACAAACAGAGUAGCAUCAUAUGUCUCUUAGAAAACAUCACAGUAUAGCCUUUGGUAUGAAAAAAACGCCAUCAUAUACAUCGUAUAUUGUACAAAUAACAAGUCAAAGGAAAGAGACAGACAUUGUAGAAUUGUAGUAAUUGUGGGCUGACUGAUUUACUGAUUAUCAGUAUUUUAUUUUUUACUGAUUUACGGUAAUAAAUACAUUUAAAAAUGG